GGGGAAUAUUGCGCAAUGGGGGAAACCCUGACGCAGCAACGCCGCGUGGGUGAUGAAGGCUUUCGGGUCGUAAAACCCUGUCAGAGGGAAAGAACUGGUUUGUGAGGAAAUGCACAGACCUUGACGGUACCCUCAGAGGAAGCACCGGCUAACUCCGUGCCAGCAGCCGCGGUAAAACGGGGGGUGCAAGCGUUGUCCGGAAUUACUGGGCGUAAAGGGCGUGUAGGCGGCACUUCAAGUCAGAUGUGAAAUCCCUCGGCUUAACUGGGGAAUUGCAUUUGAAACUGGUGAGCUCGAGUACGGUAGAGGGAAGGGGAAUUCCCGGUGUAGAGGUGAAAUUCGUAGAUAUCGGGAGGAAUACCAGUGGCGAAGGCGCCUUCCUGGACCAGUACUGACGCUGAGACGCGAAAGCGUGGGGAGCAAAC
rnacentral:rRNA from 1 species